CCUACGGGAGGCAGCAGUGAGGAAUAUUGGUCCAUGGGCUUACGCCUGAACCAGCCAAGUCGCGUGAGGGAAGACUGCCCUAUGUGUUGUAAACUUCUUUUGUCAGGGAGCAAUUGGCGCUACGUGUAGCGUUAUCGAGAGUACCUGAAGAAAAAGCAUCGGCGAACUCCGUGCCAGCAGCCGCGGUAAUACGCAGGAUGCGAGCGUUAUCCGGAUUUAUUGGGUUUACAGGGUGCGUAGGCGGAAUGCCAAGUCAGCGGUAAAAUCGCGGGGCUAAACCUCGCUCCGACGUUGAAACUGGCGUUCUUGAGUGGGCGAGAAGUAUGCGGAAUGCGUGGUGUAGCGGUGAAAUGCAUAGAUAUCACGCAGAACUCCGAUUGCGAAGGCAGCAUACCGGCGCCCAACUGACGCUGAAGCACGAAAGCGUGGGUAGCGAACAGGAUUAGAUACCCGUGUAGUC
rnacentral:rRNA from 1 species